rnacentral:ncRNA from 1 species
ACCAAGGAGAGUUUGAUCCUGGCUCAGGAUGAACGCUAGCGGCAGGCUUAACACAUGCAAGUCGAGGGGUAAAAAUGGCUUCGGCUAUUUGAGACCGGCAAACGGGUGCGGAACACGUACACAACCUACCUUUAUCAGGGGAAUAGCCCAGAGAAAUUUGGAUUAAUGCCCCAUAGUAUUAUUUGAUGGCAUCAUUAGAUAAUUAAAGAACUUCGGAUAGAGAUGGGUGUGCGUAAGAUUAGCUAGUU